ACCAGGAUGGCCGAGUGGUUAAGGCGUUGGACUUAAGAUCCAAUGGAUGUUGUCCUCGUGGGUUCGAACCCCACUCCUGGUA